rnacentral:rRNA from 1 species
AUACGUAGGGUGCGAGCGUUAAUCGGAAUUACUGGGCGUAAAGCGUGCGCAGGCGGUUUUGUAAGAAAGAGGGGAAAUCCCCGGGCGCAAACUGGGAACUGCCUUUGUGACUGCAAGGCUAGAGUACGGCAGAGGGGGAUGGCAUUCCCCGUGUUGCGGUGAAAUGCGUAGAUAUGCGGAGGAACACCGAUGGCGAAGGCAAUCCCCUGGGCCUGUACUGACGCUCAUGCACGAAAGCGUGGGGAGCAAACAGGAUUAGAUACCCUGGUAGUCCACGCCCUAAACGAUGUCAACUGGUUGUUGGGUCUUCAUUGACUCAGUAACGAAGCUAACGCGUGAAGUUGACCGCCUGGGGAGUACGGCCGCAAGGUUGAAACUCAAAUGAAUUGACGGGG